AAGUGUCCUGCACCCUAGUGAAGAAUAUGAAUGUGGUCUGGACCCAGGGAGGCUGAGUGAAGAGGAGUUCUCUGACUACAAGGAAGUUUCCAGCAUCUGCAAUGGAGAUGCUGAGAUCUGACUGCUCCUCAACACAGAGGACUGAGUUCUGCAUGAGUAACUAACAUGCUUUCUUCUGAGGAUAUUCAUUUUCUCUAACUCCUAAAAUUCAUCAGUUUUGCACACUUCUGGAAUAUCCAUAGAAUUUUGGUUUUUAUACAUUUUUCUAAUGUAAGUGACUGUCAGCAGUUGAGCCACACAAUCAAUUUCCUGGCUUAUUCUUUCCUACAGAUCUUCUCAUGUUACCAAGGAAACCUUAAACUCAAAACGUAAUGUCUUCAUCCUUGUGUUUAUCUAAAACUGUUAUUGGACUUGACUUCUAUAGUUUGAAUAAUUCAGUCAUUUGAAACUGUGGUGGUUUGAAUAUACUUGGCUUAGGGAGUGGCACUAUUAGGAAGUGUGGCCUUGUUAUAAUAGAUGUGGCCUUGUUGGAGAAAGUGUAUCACUGUGUGCAUGGGUUUUAAGACCCUUGUUCUAGCUUUGUGGAAUGUAGUCUUUUACUGCUUGCCUUCGGGACAAGACGUAGAUCUCUCAGCUCCUCCUACACCAUGUCUGUGUGGAUGCUGCCAUGUUCCUGUCUUGACAAUUGUGGACUGGAAUUCUGAACCUCUAAUCCAGCCCCAAUUAAGUAUUGUCCUUAUAAGAAUUGCCUUGGUCAUAGUGUCUGUUCACAUCAGUAAAACUCCAACUAAGACAGAAGUUGGUUUCAGGAACUGGGAUAUUGCUCUGAUAGGCCCACCUAUGCUUUUUCUUGUAAGAAUGUGAAUUUUUGGGACUUUGAAUUUGGAGUGUAGUGGGAUGUUUUCAUGAGCCAUCCUAAUAGGAAUGUGGAUGACUUGGUUGAUGAUGGUGAUUUGGAUGUUGAAGCCUUGCUCUAGAGGUUUCAGAGGAGAAGAAUGUGUGACCCAAGCCUUUUGAAGGAGCCAUUGAAGAUCAGAUGUUGAUUGCAGGCACUGGAAGAAGUUGUAAUGUUGAAGUUGCCUUGGAGUCCCCAAGAUGUUUGAGCUGACAGAGCUGUGGGCUAUCUGCUGAGGAAAGUUGCUAACAGAGAGUGGAACCAGCAAGGAGAAAGGCGUUUGUUGCAGUCAACAAAGAUGAAAAAGGAGUUGGAGAUCUGAAAACUGUUUUGACAUCAGACAUGGAGAUGCGGUUUUGAUUUUGCCCAGCUGUUUUUCUGUCUUGUUUGGGGGAAUACAGUUAAGUGAUUGGAUGAAUCUCAGAAGAGACUUUGAACUUUGGAGUUUUUACAGUGUUGAGACUGCUAUAGAAUAUAGGGACUUUGGAAAUUGGACGAAAUGUAGUUUUUAUUUUGCUAUGGAUGGGUAUUACUCCUGUAGACUCAUAUGUGAACAAGACCGUGGAUAUCAGUAAGUGGAAUACAGUGGUUUGAAUAAGCUUGGUCCAGGGAGUGGCACUAUUAGGACGUGUAGCCUUGCUAAAGUAGGAGUGGCCUUUUGGGGGCAAGUGGUUCACUGUGCAAUAGGCUAUGAGACCCUCCUCCUAUCUUUCUGGAAAAUACUCUUCUCUUGUUUACCUUUGGAAGAAGAUGUAGAUCCCUCACCUUCUCUGGGACUUCACCAUUAUAGCACACUGUCUUCUCUGGAGUUUCUGAAGAUGUGUUUUUAAAUACUGUGACCAUCUCUCUGCAAGUGGGAACCCAGAGAACAAUGAAAAGCAUUCCAAUCCCUUCUUAGCCCAAGUAUUUCUCAUGGUUUCCCCCAUAGCACCCAUGCAGUCCCUUUUCUUCAUGUCCUUUCUCAAUACAUUGCUGACAUUUGAUUCCUGAUCGUUUUCCUUGUAUGAGUCACUGGUGGCAUCUCUCUCACUGUCUUCCAAAUAGUUGUACAAGUAGAAAUUUUAGAUAAAUACUAUUGCCUGAUGGAACUCCGUUUUAAACAAAACCUACUUUUCAUGAAGCACUGCCAGUCCCACUUUUUCAAGCCUUGGUCCAUUUUUCAGGGAGACACAAUACAGGCCACAUGACAAGGCACUUCAUGAGAAAACCAUCAGCUGACAUGUCUAUAGAGACCAUUCUGUGCCAGAAACAGUUCCAGGUUUAGUGGAAUUCAGGGAACCCCUAGGAAGACAAGGCAGAAACCGUGAAAGAACAGAGGAAAUGGAGGCCAUCAAGACAACAACACCUCUAAAUCCACUGUGCAAAGCUCCUCAGAACUCACCUGGACUGAAGCAGCAAGCACAGGACCUGCACAGGAUAUUCAAAAUGAAGAGGCUAGGAUGCAAUUAUAAAAAUGAUAACCUGACCCAAGUUCCUGUCCUGACAAUGCUCUCCUGGGAAAGCUGGAAUAAAGACAUCCAAGCAUGGAGGAAUGUGUGAUGGAGAGAUGGGAAAAAUGAAACGCUGUGGAGAGAUGCAAGAGAAAGCAAAACUCAGGGAUCUGUGCACAGUGCAGAGAUGUAGCUAGAAACACAAAGCAGAGAGGAAGAGACAGGUGUGAGGAGAUCGUGGGGUCCUGAUCCUGGCUGUCACCAAGACAUUUUCUGGGUACAUUGUCCUGCUGCAGCUGAGGUAUGUGUUGAUGUCUCUGGUCUGAGUCACCACCAAAGCCCAAACUGAUACCUGUGGUCUGGGCUGCUGCUGGCGAUCUUGUGUUGAUAUGUAACCCUUUGUGAGGUGGCACGACUUAUUUAAAAUGAAGACAGUCGAUGUAACCUAAUCUAUUGCCAUUAUGUCUCCUCACAUCACCCAAG
rnacentral:lncRNA from 1 species